rnacentral:misc_RNA from 1 species
GGUUUAGAUCACGUUUAGAUGGCAUUUACGUCGAUCUAAACGUUUAGGAAUCUAUUCUAAACGUGUUCUGAAUAUUUAAUUUGCGUUUAGAUGACAUUUACGUCGUUCUAAACGAUUAGGAAUCAAUUCUAAAUGAGUUCUGAAUAUUUAGUUAGCGUUUAAGCGCUAAAUCAUGCCGGUUUCCGUUACUUCGAUUAGCCCAGAAGGGAUUUUGCACAGAAUGAAACGGACAUUUUGGAUCUUUCAUUAUUGUUUAAAAAUUUGAAUUUCAUAUGAAUAUUAAAUUAUUUAGUAGUUUAGAAAACUUAAAAGAAAUUUGAGUAAACAAAAAUUGAGUUAACGGAUGUUUUAGGAGGAUUAACUUUUUGAUAAUGACCUUUAGACAUGCUUGUUUGUAUAUUAAAACAUGCUUGUUACCAUAUUUAAAAUCGUUAUUUAGUCUGAUUUUCUAAUGGCAUAAAAAACUAUACUUAGACUGUUAUUAAAAUAGACUAUUAGUCUAUAAUAAUUCGCAUAAAUAUCACAAAAAUUUGAAAAAAGGUUUAGUUAUGAAAGUUAUUAAGAUUGGUAUUAUUUAAUUAAAUUGAAGCAGUUUGUAUUACAGAAAAAAGUGGUUUUACAAGAUUUGAAAUAGUUUGUAUUAAACCAAGAAGUAGUUAAAAGAUUGCAAAAGAGAUCAUUCGUAUGAGUGCAAAAGCAGAGUAUAUGCGAAAAUAUAGAAAAGUUGUUAAAGAUGCAAAUAAUUGCUUUGAAUGUGAACCUCCUGUGUUAUCAAAUUCUACAACAAAUGCAGAAAAUUUAUUCGCUUUAUCUUCUAUUGCAAAUAAUAUAACUGAUAAUUUAUUUAAUAGUGAUACCUAUAGACUUGACAUUGACAUAGUACCACCUUACAGUAGUUUCGAUGAAGAAAAUUGUGAUAUAGAUGAUAUUGACAUCGACAUAGUACCACCUAAUAGCAGCUCAGACGAUGAACAUUAUUGUGAUAUAGAAGUUGUUGGCAAUAGAUCUUUUCAAUACGAUCUAGCUCAAUGGGUUGUUAAUGCAAAACUCACACGUUUAUCAUGUAAUGGUUUGCUAGCCUUGUUGAGAAAACAUGGGUGCGAGCUGCCUAAAGAUAGCCGUACUCUUUUACAAACACCUCAAGCUAUACAAGUUCAGGAAAAUGUGGUGGAAAAUACAUUUAUUUUGGCCUUUUCAAAUGUUUACAGAAUUCAAUAAAUCAAGGCACUUGCAGUAAUAUACUCAAUCUGCAAAUAAAUGUUGACGGUAUAUCAUUGUUUAGAUCAUCGAAAAGACAAUUUUGGCCGAUUCUUUUUGCUGUUAAUCAUAGUUCACCCACAAUUGUUGCCUUAUAUCAAGGAGAUAGUAAGCCAAACUGUGUUAAAGAAUUCUUAAAGGAUUUUAUUGAUGAAUAUAAAUUUUCAAAAUGUCAUGGUGUCACUCAUAAUGGUAAAAAUUAUACAGUUAUUUUGCACUCAGUUAUUUGUGAUGCUCCAGCAAGAUCUUUUCUGAAAAAUAUUCAAAAACAUUUCUUUUUAUAUUUAUCUCCCUCUAAUAUAGUUUUAAAUAUGUUUUUAUGUCUAUAUGUUUAAUAUGUUUAAAUAUGCUAAUAUGCCUAAUGUGAUUUUUAAUUUAAGGAAGAUAUUUCAUAGUAUACUAGGUUAGCACUAUGAGUGAAAAAAGCUAUAUAUUUUUUAGCCUUCGUAGUUAAUCAAAGAGUUAUUAUAGCUUCUUUUUUUAUUAAUAUUUUCAUUUGGUGUAAGUUAUUGUAAAUUUAUUUUAGGUAUAUUAAGUUGUGAUUUUAUUUUCCUAUGUUUUAACUUUUUAAUUUUUUUUUAAUUUUUGUUUCGAUUUUGUUUACUUUUAAUGUGAAUCUAAAUAAUUUUAGAUAUUAAUCUUAAAAUUUUAAAGAGUAAUUAAUAUAGAAAUUUUCAUAACCAUCUCCUCUGAUAAUAACUUCUAUUGGUGUCUUGUUUAGCUGAAACAAGGGAUAAUAACAAUAAUUAAACUACUAUUUAUAUGUAUUAGUAAAAUAAUAUUUAUGUAUUUGUAAACGACUAAACUUAUAUUAAACACUUUUAAACAAGUUUAGUUACAAGUUUAUGUUAUGUGUUGAUGUACCUACAAUAAAAAGAGUAUUAACAUUUUAGUAAAAUGUCAUAUCACCGGGCUGUUUGGUUGGAAGAAAAUCGUGAGGAAGAAGGAGUCUUGCCAUACGCAUGGGUGCGGGUAAAAGUAGUUAUGUGGCCCCCAUCCAAAAUGAAUGCGUUUAAAUUAAUGAAAGAAGGAGUAGAACCUAAUGAAAAUUGGCGACUUUUUAAACUAAUAAAAAUAAAAAUUACUUCAGAUUGCUACGAGGAUUGUAAUAAUUAUGAUUUAACUACAGAAACUGAAGAAGAUAAUCAGCAAGUUU